rnacentral:pre_miRNA from 1 species
CAUUCUCCCUCCAUCCAAGUUUGAUCGUCCAUAUUAUUUAAAUUUUUUAUUGUUAUUAGAUUAUAAAAUAUAAAUGGUACUUUAUAUAUGACUUAUGUUUUUUAAUUAUUUUUUAAAAAAAUAAAUAAGACUAACAAUUAAAGUUAGAUAUGAAAACUUAUGGUUGUGUUUAUU